rnacentral:lncRNA from 1 species
UUGGUGGUGGGGGUGGGGGGGGUGUUGUUGCAUGUGGUGAGGAUUUUGUUGAGGGAUUUGAUGGUGUAGUGACAUUUCUAAUCCUAACAUACCAGGACCUAUAUUUGAAUAUAUACUACCAGAAUCCAUCAAAAUAAAUAAGAAAAAUCAAAAUCUUGAAAACCCCACUACGCAAAAUUUUAUGAGAAACAACUAUCACUUCAAAAUUCAAAUGUACAUAUUAAUCCUACGAGCCAAACAAGAAAGAUAGAUGGAACCAAACCAAGAAGGCUAAAGAACCCGAGAACACCAAGAAUUAAAAGGCUAAAAGUUAAAUUUUUUUUAAGAAAAAGCUGGCAAAAAGUGCAAGAAUGAAAGAAAGGGUUGGUUAGUAGGUUUUUUGAGGUUGAAAUAUACUGUGAAUGGAUUUGUAUGAGGGGUUUAUACAAAGAAUGAGCAGCUGGAUUUUUGAAAUUGCCCAUGGUUUUCUUGAAAAUGUAGGUAGGUGGGGGAUAUGGGGUUUAGUUUUAAAGAGAAGGAAUCCACAGGAUUUGCAAAACUGUCCACCUUUUUUUAUAAUGUUUU